rnacentral:misc_RNA from 1 species
UUAAAGCCGUCCUUCUUUUAUUGCUGUUCAUUCCUGUCCAUCACUUUACAAGCUGUCAGCUAAUGCAGCUUUUUAGUUGACAAAGGUUUUGUCCUGAUUUUAGUUUGCCAUUGUGUCUUGUACGACUGAUUAAAUACGAUUCGUGUUUUGAGCUUGGAUGACAAGCAUACAGUAAUUGGCAUCAGUUCGCCAUUUCAAUCGAUCAAUUCCUCGUUUUCCUUUCCUUCCGAAUUCGAUCAUUUUAUUAGUUAUAACCGAGGUUUUCAUUUUCCGCGGUUAGUAACUACAGCUGGCAAUCAAAAUAGAACGGCCUUAAUUAAUCGAAAAGCAAUACGUGAUACCUUACACCCGAAACUUGCUGAAAAAACAAUAAAACACUCAGGCAGAAAUUCAAAUUUAUUUCUCGUGCGACAAAAGCUGUGGACAUCGAGUUGAUGCCGGAGUCCCAUAUUUAUCAGUUAAAAUCCUUCAAUCCUCUGACAUGUCCACGGAUGGUGAUGUGCUGCACCCAGUCUCUGCUCGUUCGCGCAGCACUCGCUCCCAUUCCCUCAAACAACAAAGUCAACCCAUGGUCCUAUUUAAGCAGCGUUCCAAACGCACCAUGAGCCUGCCAUCCAAGCCUGUCUUGCUGCCGCUGAUCAAUAUUCAACGCUGCCAUGACAACUGGGAUGACGAGAGCGAUGAAGGUGAAAAUGAAGAUGAAAAUGAGGAAGAAAUGGCGUGGUACACGCCAGUUGUUGGAUUAACCUGCAGUCUUGUGAUGUAUUUCUGGUCCUGUGUGCUGGCCUACUACGCCAAGAAAUAACGACUACCGAAAGUUUUCAAGCGUUUGUCGCUGGCGUCUGUUUAACAGGGAACUUAAGCGAUGACGACAGCCAAAAAUUGGAGUUAUAUUUUACCAUUGAAUUUUGCAGAACUGUUCAGUACGCCGAGAGGUUUAAAAUCCUGAUCAAAUUAAAGAUGUAACGCCAGCGAUCAGUUCCAGAGGAAAAUACGAAAAAUUAGCCGUCGUGCCUCGCGUUCUUCAAAAUAAGCAGAACUUGGUCAUUUUACGUUGUUGCUUUGCAGAGGACGGUUACUCAUUAAACCUCUUGUUUAGUGACGUUAUAGUUGUCGUUGUCGUCGUGGUUUGCUUAAUCUCCCUAAUGUCUAUGACCUUAAGCCUUGGUCAAACGGUGCAUCAACUACCAUCGACUAUCAUGCGCUUUUCGUUUGACCAAGGCUUCUCGAAAGCAUCUUGAGUGUCAAGAAAAGUUAAAGGAAAUUAAACGUCAGCACGCUUGAGUUAACACUGAGUAAGCACAAAGUGGACUGAUGUAAGAAAAUUAAUAAAACUCUAUGAAGUUCUCAUACUUUAUCAUUCUGAUAAAGGCAAAGUAGAAGAUCACACAUUCGUAAGAGGUUAAGAUUAAUAAAAUUCCAGACAAUAUUACACAACAAAAAAUCUUUAUGUUACAAUCAACGGUAAAAUAAAUUCACUUAGGUUGUGUUUGAAAUAUAUUUUGUUUACUGAGCUAAUUUCAUAUGACCAUUUUCAUCCAUUCUAAUAAUUAUUAAGCUUGUUGCAGUUCUGAAUGUUAACCAUUAACGUUAAAGGAGUAAUUCAGGGUUUGUGCUUCUUGAAAAAUUUAGCCUAAAUUUUUCAAGAUCGUCGUUUGUAAUCCGUGUUAAUCUUCUCCAUCCUUAACCAUUCUUGUUCCUUUAUGGUUUAUUAUUAUCUCUUUGGAAUUUUUCUAUCUACUUCUAUUUUCAGGCUUCCCUUAAUUUGAAGGUAAUUUUGCAUAUUGACAGAAUAAAUCAAAAUACCGUGACUGAGCUGCAGUUAGUAAUAGUGAAUAGGUUGAACUGAUGUUCUAUUGUCUCAGGCUGGUUGAAACUUACGCGGGAAAACCCUAUCGCGAGCAGCCACUAAUCAGAAACAACAUGUCAAGCCCUGCCAGAUAACACAAAGAUGACAGACUUGUAAACAGUACAAGAAAUGAGUCCGCGGGAAGAAUUACCAUUUUACACAGACUCCGCAGGGAAAUUGUCAGCGAAAACGAAUGGAAUCAAAUGCAUACAUACAUACAUACAU